AACUAACCAGGAUUCCCUUAGUAGCUGCGAGCGAACAGGGAAAAGCCCAGCACUGAAUCCCGGAGGCUAAGCCUCCAGGGAAAUGUAGUGUUUGGGAGGGUUCAUAUACCUGAUACUGCUGCACUGCGUCCAAGUCCAUCUUGAACGAGGCCACGGUCCCGAGAGGGUGCCAGGCCCGUAGUUGGCCGGUGCUGGUGUUGGGUGAACCUCUCCUUAGAGUCAGGUUGCUUGAGAGUGCAGCCCUAAGUGGGUGGUAAACUCCAUCUAAGGCUAAAUACAACCACGAGACCGAUAGCGAACAAGUACCGUGAGGGAAAGUUGAAAAGAACUUUGAAGAGAGAGUUCAAGAGUACGUGAAACCGCUCAGGGGUAAACGGAAAAGACCUGAAAUUUCUGAAAGGGGAGAUUCACGUCUUCUCGCUGGACCGACAACCUGCUCCUUGUAGACGGCUCUAUGCCCCAUUCGGAUUUAUUCGAAGCGGUGGGUGGAGUCGCCAAGGGUGGGUCUGAAGGGCCGCGGCGGACCGCACUUCUCCCCUAGUAAGACGUCGUGACCCGUUCGGCUAUGGUCUAAGGGUUUGGGUGGGAGCCUGUCCGAGCUGUUUCGGCAGUCUCUCGGGCAGCCCCCCUUAUCCCCGGCCAUGGAUUGACCCGGGCGGUAUCGAAAGACAGUGUUGAACCGCUCCGCGGGGAGAGAAAUCUUCUUUCGAGAGCGCGAGUGGUCCUUGGCAAGGUGUGUAGUCGCGUGUCAAGGCGGGCCUCGGUCCGUCUGACUGCUCUCGCGCCUGUUGGUCGAGUGUACCCUUUCGCAGGUUCAUACAAAUGGCACUAGUCAACGGCGAAUCAGUUUUGGGCUCUUGUCCGACCCGUCUUGAAACACGGACCAAGGAGUUUAGCGUGUGCGCGAGUCAUUGGGUGUGAAAACCCAAAGGCGAAAUGAAAGUGAAGGAAACUAAACUUUCUGAGGGAGGAUGGGUUGGCCCCUUUAAAGGGUCGCCUCGCACUCCCGGGGCGUCUCUAUCUCAUUGCGAGAGGAGGCGCACCCAGAGCGUACACGCUGAUACCCGAAAGAUGGUGAACUAUGCCUGGCCAGGACGAAGCCAGGGGAAACCCUGGUGGAGGUCCGCAGCGAUUCUGACGUGCAAAUCGAUCGUCGGAGCUGGGUUUAGGGGCGAAAGACCAAUCGAACCAUCUAGUAGCUGGUUCCCUCUGAAGUUUCCCUCAGGAUAGCUUGCGCUCGGAAGAGACGAGUCUCAUCCGGUAGAGCGAAUGAUUAGAGGCCUUGGGGUCGAAACGACCUCAACCUAUUCUCAAACUCCAAAUAGAUGAGAACCCCGGCUUUCUUGAAAUUUUUCUAUGAAGCCGGGGGCUUGCCAAGUGGGCCAAUUUUGGUAAGCAGAACCGGCGCUGUGGGAUGAACCAAACGCGGAGUUAAGGAGCCUCAAUCGACGCUCAUGUGAGACCAUGAAAGGCGUUGGUUGCUUAAGACAGCAGGACCGUGGCCAUGGAAGUCGGAAUCAGCUAAGGAGUGUGUAACAACUCACCUGCCGAAGCAACUAGCCCUGAAAAUGGAUGGCGCUGUAGCGUCGUUCCUAUACUCCGCCGUCAACGGCAACGCAGGCAGUCACUUUACUGUGACGGCGCUGUUACGCCUUGAUGAGUAAGAGGGCCGCGGCGAUGUGCGCAGAAGGGUCUGGGCGUGAGCCCGCCUGGAGCCGUCGUCGGUGCAGAUCUUGGUGGUAGUAGCAAAUACUCCAGCGAGGCCCUGGAGGACUGAUGUGGAGAAGGGUUUCUUGUGAACAGCUGUUGCACAAGAGUCAGUCGAUCCUAAGCCCUAGGAGAAAUCCGAAGCGAUGGGUUGCCGUUAAUCAAAUGCGAUUGCUGGCACCAUUUGGGCGAAAGGGAAUCCGGUUCCUAUUCCGGAACCCGGCAGUGGAACCGUUCCAAAUCGGGCCCUCAUUGAGGACUCGUCAGGGCAACCUGAAAGGACCCGGAGACGCCGUCGGGAGAUUCGGGGAGAGUUGUCUCUUCUCUAUAAGCGUUCGAGUUCCCUGGAAACCUCUAGCAGGGAGAUAGGGUUUGGAACGCGAAGAGCACUGCAGUUACGGCAGUGUCCGAAUCUUCCCCACGGACCUUGAAAAUCCGGGAGAGGGCCACGAGGAACCCCACGCCG
rnacentral:rRNA from 1 species